GAGACUGGCGGGCGAUCGCCCUGGGGAGUGCAAUCUUUGUAGGACUGAAAUCAAGCUUCUGUCGAGGCGGUUUCGGUGUGAAUUUAGGAUUGCGUCAGAAGGAAGCCAUUUCGGAAUGGAGCUUUCUGUCUCUUUUCAUUCCUCGCUGACUGACUGUUCCUCGAUUCCCGAUUCUUGCUUCGAUAUUUCGAGACAUAGGGAUGAAGGCUUGGAGAGUAGGAGGAAUGCGAUGAAUGCUGCACAUUCCCGUAAGCCGUGGUCUUAUGAAUAUAUGUAUUUAUCUCUCUUUCUGGCUGGCUGUCCAUGCACGCACAUACAAAUCAGGUGUGUGGGUCCUCUGCUGUACUGGAACGAGAAACAACAAUCGCAGUGUGAACUUGUGUGAAGCGAACGACGUACUGUACUUCUUCUGAAGAGCCUCGGCAGUGAGGAGACGUGCUGCAUUAACUUGUGAAUUCUUGAGUAUUGGUUUUUGUGAACUCAAAGUGAAUUGACAGUUGCCAUUCUGAGAGUGAUGGGAGUUGAAGCCUGCUUCAGGGGUCUUCAGCUCGUUGGAUUCCUCUAGGAAGAACCACUGCAAGACCUAAAGAUGACUAUUGGGCUGACUUCUUUUUCUAGAAUGCAUCUAUGUGUCUAUAUAUAUAUAUAUAUAUAUAUAUAGAUAUAUACAUAUAUGUAUGUGAGUAA
rnacentral:lncRNA from 1 species